UACGUAGGGGGCAAGCGUUGUCCGGAUUUAUUGGGCGUAAAGAGCGUGUAGGCGGCCAUGCAGGUCCGUUGUGAAAACUCGAGGCUCAACCUCGAGACGUCGGUUGAAACCGUACGGCUAGAGUCCGGAAGAGGAGAGUGGAAUUCCCGGUGUAGCGGUGAAAUGCGCAGAUAUCGGGAAGAACACCCGUGGCGAAGGCGGCUCUCUGGGACGGUACUGACGCUGAGACGCGAAAGCGUGGGGAGCGAACAGG
rnacentral:rRNA from 1 species